UACGUAGGGUGCGAGCGUUAAUCGGAAUUACUGGGCGUAAAGCGUGCGCAGGCGGUCUGUUAAGACCGAUGUGAAAUCCCCGGGCUUAACCUGGGAACUGCAUUGGUGACUGGCAGGCUUUUGAGUGUGGCAGAGGGAGGUAGAAUUCCACGUGUAGCAGUGAAAUGCGUAGAGAUGUGGAGGAAUACCGAUGGCGAAGGCAGCCUCCUGGGGCCAAACACU
rnacentral:rRNA from 1 species